AUUGAACGCUGGCGGCAGGCCUAACACAUGCAAGUCGAGCGGAUGAGUGGAGCUUGCUCCAUGAUUCAGCGGCGGACGGGUGAGUAAUGCCUAGGAAUCUGCCUGGUAGUGGGGGACAACGUUUCGAAAGGAACGCUAAUACCGCAUACGUCCUACGGGAGAAGGUGGGGGAUCUUCGGACAUCACGCUCUCAGAUGAGCGGAGUUCGGAUUGGCUAGUUGGUGAGGUAAAGGCUCACCAAGGGGACGAUCCGUAACUGGUCUGAGAGGAUGAUCAGUCACACUGGAACUGGGACACGGUCCAGACUCCUACGGGAGGCAGCAGUGGGGAAUAUUGGACAAUGGGCGAAAGCCUGAUCCAGCCAUGCCGCGUGUGUUAAGAAGGUCUUCGGAUUGUAAAGCACUUUAAGUUGGGAGGAAGGGCAGUAAGUUAAUACCUUGCUGUUUUGACGUUACCAACAGAAUAAGCACCGGCUAACUUCGUGCCAGCAGCCGCCGCCGUAA
rnacentral:rRNA from 1 species